CCAUCCGACCCGUCUUGAGACACGGACCAAGGAGUCUGACAUGCCUACGAGACGACGGGUUCUGGAACCUGGGAUGUGCAAGGAAGCUGACGAGUGAGAGGCCCUCGCGGGCCGCACCGCCGGCCGACCCUAAUCUUCUGUAAAGGGUUUGAGUUGGAGCACGCCUGUCGGGACCCGAACGAUGGUCAACUAAGCCUGAGCGAGGCGAAGCCAAAGGAAACUCUGGUGGAGGCUCGAAGCGAUACUGACGUGCAAAUCAUUUGUCUGACUUGGGUAUAGGGCCGAAAGACUAAUCGAACCAUCUAGUAGGUGAUUCCCUCCAAAGUUUCCCUCGGGAUAGCU
rnacentral:rRNA from 1 species